AGCUUCUUAAUAUCCACAUCCUUAAGUUGGUACAACCCCUGAGGCCUAGUGUACUUCUCAUCCACCACUUGCCUCCUCCUUCCCAACUUAUUACCCAUUCCAAAAUAUUCACAAUAAUAACCCACAAAAACAACACAAACCAAUAAUUUCUAGCCCUAAUUUUCACAUCUCAAAAUACAAAACUUCCAAUACAUAAAUACCGAAAUAUGAACAAAAGAUAUUCACCCAUCCUGCAAAUUACCAGCAAAAAAAAACAAAACAUUAAGACUCAAAUACCUAAUCCAAUUUUUCACAAAAAAAAAAAAAAAAAAAAAACAAGCAAACAAGAGGUACCACACACCUGAAAAUGAAGGCAAUAGGAGAGAGAGAAAGAGAGGGGGAACAAGAUCAGAAGUUUCUUCUCUGAUACAAAAUUUGUAGUGUGUGUUUCGAUAUGUGAUUUACACGUAUUUUUACAGUUUUUUUAUAAAAAAUAAAGUAGUACUUUCUCUAAGAAAUGUCUGAUUUUUUUUGUUGUUAUAUAAAUAGAGGGAUUUGUUUUGUAUAUUAGGGGAUGGCUUGCGAAUAGAAGAGAAUGAGAUAAGCAAAUCGCAAGCAAAGCACCGUAUGAGAAAGAGUAGACGAGCCGGAAAGAAUCGCAAUCACCCCACCCCACCCCCGUCCCUCCCUUUUGGGGGUUAAAGCGGUGGGGUAGGGUAAGGUGAUGAUAAUUUUGCCAAAUUAUGUAAUUUUUUAUGUUGCAC
rnacentral:lncRNA from 1 species